AGGUCUUGGAGAUACAGUAAGUGG
rnacentral:siRNA from 1 species